GAGACAUCCCGGGAGAAGCCAAGAGUAAUUGGACUGUUUCAUUUGCUUUCCAGGAACUGCUUAUUAAUGGAUCUUGUCUGUCCUGGGCACCCACAGAGCAGUUGUGGGUGCAGAGCCAGAGCUGCCCUGCAGUGCAAAAGUCCUGAAAGGUGGAUCUGCUGAGAAAAACCCCAACUAAAUACAGGUAUGGAAAGAGAAGGGAACAACUGAGAUGCCAGCAAAGAAAAACAAAUGGAGGCCAUUAGGAAUUUAUAACAAUAAAGAGCAGUCUCUGAAAGGUAACAUUUGAAA